GUGAAUCAUCGAAUUUUUGAACGCAAAUUGCGCUUACUGGCAUCCCGGUAAGUAUGCCUGUUUGAGGUUCAUUAUUAACAAAAAAUCGGUUUGGUUGCAAAUGGUGACGUUUCCGGAGUUUGGGCUAUCUGAACUUUUUUGGGUAAGGGGCUUAAAAUAGACCUUUGUUGCGCAUUUUUAAACGUACAUAAAUUUUUUUUAUUCGUCUAUUCUUAAUGCCAAAAUCUUAUUAGAUGCGAUCACAUCGUGUGGCUUCGUGUCCAUAAAAUUUUCAUGAUUUGACCGCAAAUCAGUUAA
rnacentral:misc_RNA from 1 species